UGGCGGCAUGGAUUAGGCAUGCAAGUCGAACGAGUAAAGCUCCCUUCGGGGAGCAAGUACAGUGGCGAACGGGUGAGUAACGGGUGGAAAACCUGCCCUUCAAUGGGGGAUAACAGUUCUAACGAGCUGCUAAUACCGCAUACGACCUUCGGAUCGCAUGUUCCGAAGGUGAAAGGUGGCCUCUCUUUGAAGCUGCCGUUGAAGGAUGGUUCCGCCUCCCAUUAGCUUGUUGGUGGGGUAAUGGCCUACCAAGGCGACGAUGGGUAGCCGGCCUGAGAGGGUGUCCGGCCACACUGGGACUGAGAUACGGCCCAGACUCCUACGGGAGGCAGCAGUCGAGAAGCUUCGGCAAUGGGCGAAAGCCUGACCGAGCGAUGCCGCGUGAGUGAAGAAGGCCCUAUGGGUUGUAAAGCUCUGUCAGAUUGGGAAGAAAAUCCUACGGUUAAUACCCGUGGGACUUGACGGUACCAUCAGAGGAAGCACCGGCUAACUCCGUGCCAGCAGCCGCGGUAAUACGGAGGGUGCAAGCGUUGUUCGGAUUCACUG
rnacentral:rRNA from 1 species